CACAUGAGAAGAUGCAAAACUCACCUCUCUGUGCCUGAAUCUCCAGUUCCAUCCAGGUGGACAUCCAGGUGGAGCCCAUACCUGGCUACGGACAGUCCUGCUGGUCUCUCGCGGAGCCUGGAGCUCACCGGUUCCUCGACACAAGCUAGCCGCGUGAUCCUCCCAUCUUCACUUCAAUAUUUAUUUGAAAAAGAGAAGGACAAAUGAGAAUGGGCGCACCAGGGCUUCCUGCCAC